rnacentral:rRNA from 1 species
GAUGAACGCUCGCGGCAGGCCUAAUACAUGCAAGUCGGACGGGAUUCAGGAGCUUGCUUCUGAUGAGAGUGGCGCACGGGUGCGUAACACGUAUGUAACCUACCUUUAUCAGGGGGAUAGCCUCUCGAAAGAGAGAUUAAGCCCGCAUAAAAUCACAGCACAGCAUUGUGUAAUGAUCAAAUAUUUAUAGGAUCAAGAUGGGCAUGCGGAACAUUAGCUAGAUGGCGGGGUAACGGCCCACCAUGGCGACGAUGUUUAGGGGAUCUGAGAGGAUGGCCCCCCACACUGGUACUGAGACACGGACCAGACUCCUACGGGAGGCAGCAGUAAGGAAUAUUGGUCAAUGGGCGGAAGCCUGAACCAGCCAUGCCGCGUGCAGGAAGACGGCCCUACGGGUUGUAAACUGCUUUUAUACGGGAAUAAACCCAGAUACGUGUAUCUGGCUGAAUGUACUGGAAGAAUAAGGAUCGGCUAACUCCGUG